UACGAACUGUGCGAACGUUAUUCGGAAUCACUGAGCUUACAGGGUGCGUAGGCGGCUUUUCAAGUCAGGUGUGAAAGCCCCCGGCUCAACCGGGGAAUUGCGCUUGAAACUGGAGAGCUCGAGUCAGCUAGAGGUGCACGGAACUUCCAGUGGAGCGGUGAAAUGUGUUGAUAUUGGGAGGAACACCGGAGGCGAAAGCGGUGCACUGGGGCUGGUCUGACGCUGAGGCACGAAAGCCAGGGGAGCGAACGGG
rnacentral:rRNA from 1 species